UACGUAGGGUGCGAGCGUUGUCCGGAAUUAUUGGGCGUAAAGAGCUCGUAGGCGGUUUGUCGCGUCUGCUGUGAAAACCCGAGGCUCAACCUCGGGCCUGCAGUGGGUACGGGCAGACUAGAGUGCGGUAGGGGAGAAUGGAACUCCUGGUGUAGCGGUGGAAUGCGCAGAUAUCAGGAAGAACACCGAUGGCGAAGGCAGCUCGCUGGGACGGUACUGACACUGAGACGCGAAAGCGUGGGGAGCGAACAGG
rnacentral:rRNA from 1 species